rnacentral:rRNA from 1 species
UGGGGAAUAUUGCACAAUGGGGGAAACCCUGAUGCAGCGACGCCGCGUGAACGAAGAAGGUAUUCGUAUCGUAAAGUUCUGUCCUAUGGGAAGAUAAUGACAGUACCAUAGAAGAAAGCUCCGGCUAAAUACGUGCCAGCAGCCGCGGUAAUACGUAUGGAGCGAGCGUUGUCCGGAAUUAUUGGGCGUAAAGGGUACGCAGGCGGUUUAAUAAGUCGAAUGUUAAAGAUCGGGGCUCAACCCCGCAAAGCAUUGGAAACUGAUAAACUUGAGUAGUGGAGAGGAAAGUGGAAUUCCUAGUGUAGUGGUGAGAUACGUAGAUAUUAGGAGGAAUACCAGUAGCGAAGGCGACUUUCUGGACACAAACUGACGCUGAGGUACGAAAGCGUGGGGAGCAAACAGG